CCUACGGGAGGCAGCAGUGAGGAAUAUUGGUCAAUGGGCUUACGCCUGAACCAGCCAAGUCGCGUGAGGGAAGACUGCCCUAUGGGUUGUAAACCUCUUUUGUCAGGGAGCAACGCCGGCUACGUGUAGCCGGACUGAGAGUACCUGAAGAAAAAGCAUCGGCUAACUCCGUGACAGCAGCCGCGGUAAUACGGAGGAUGCGAGCGUUAUCCGGAUUUAUUGGGUUUACAGGGUGCGUAGGCGGAAUGCCAAGUCAGCGGUAAAAUCGCGGGGCUCAACCUCGCUCCGCCGUUGAAACUGGCGUUCUUGAGUGGGCGAGAAGUAUGCGGAAUGCGUGGUGUAGCGGUGAAAUGCAUAGAUAUCACGCAGAACUCCGAUUGCGAAGGCAGCAUACCGGCGCCCAACUGACGCUGAAGCACGAAAGCGUGGGUAUCGAACAGGAUUAGAUACCCGAGUAGUC
rnacentral:rRNA from 1 species